AGCUACGUUCUCCUAGUGACUGACAAAAAACACUUUUAUACCAAUUUUUAAUAAGGAUCUUAUAUGGCUGAAGGACUGUGUUACCCCACCAGAGAGGAAGGAGCUUUUUGAGCCAUGACCUGACAUUUCCAUUUCCCAGCCACACUUUUAGAAUGCAGCUCUGCCCUGUCUGUCCUUUCCUCUCCUCGUCCCUCCACAACCUCAGAAAAGGGAGACGAAAAACAAACAAAGUUGAGGAUGGGCAGAAAUAUGGAGUGGCUUCCAGACAAUGAGGGAUUCAACAAGUCAGAAUUCAUCUGAGGCAAGAUGACUGUGAGAAGGUGUGAUGGAAACCAAUAAACUAAUGAAUGCUGU
rnacentral:lncRNA from 1 species